CAGUAGCCACGGUAAUACGUAGGGUGCGAGCGUUAAUCGGAAUUACUGGGCGUAAAGCGUGCGCAGGCGGUUGUGUAAGACAGGUGUGAAAUCCCCGAGCUUAACUUGGGAACUGCAUUUGAAACUGGCAAGCUAGAGUCUUGUAGAGGGGGGUAGAAUCCCAGGUGUAGCGGUGAAAUGCGUAGAGAUCUGGAGGAAUACCGGUGGCGAAGGCGGCCCCCUGGACAAAGACUGACGCUGAGGCACGAAGGCGUGGGGAGCAAACAGGAUUAGAUACCCGCGUAGUCCCUGUCUCUUAUAC
rnacentral:rRNA from 1 species